UAGGGUAUGUAUUGAAAUGCCACCAGGUAAACAAACCAUGUACAUAUGGUAUAUCCGAGAUCAUGGUGAUGUAUGCUAUGACAGUUGACUAUGACAAUGUGGUGCAUUGGGAAUACAUCAUCACGUUAACAUGCAUUACAAACCAUGGAAUCAUGAAUAGGAUUUUGAUAAAAUUGGAGAAAAAAUGACGGCCUAUUUAGAAUCGCUGGGACACGGAUUGGUCAGUCUGGUGCAGACCUGCCUACUGGUCUUCCUACUUAUUAAUUUCGGUAAAGCUACUGAGUUCUGCCACGAAAAAGCCCUGAGUUAUCAGGAGUCUGUGUUAGUACCUUAUUCGUGUCCGUCCUAUUGUUGCGAGGACUACAGUCCACGCUACAAGAUCUACUGCUGUACUGAUUGCACCAAGAGCCACGCUACACAAUGUUCAACUCACGUGCGAACAGGUGCGAUAGUUGGCGCAAGUCUGGCAGCAGCGACCUCUUUUAUGUUCAUCGCCUGUGCGACCUGUGUCGCCUGUUAUAAAUGUCGGACGAAAUACAGAAAGCGACAGCAACGGCUGAGGGCUCAGGCCCGUUCGUCCCAAAUAUACAGUUUUCCCGGCCACUCCGAAAGACUGCACACGUCAGGAAUAACAGAUCCUGCGUUGGGAUACAUAGGUCCUUAUACUGGCGUAGGACAUUCGGUCCGCCUUGAUCUAAAUGAGACGCCAACCUUCUCACCGACACCGCCGGCGUACUCUGAUGUGAUGGAGCCCCCACCGCCUUACACAUCAGUCGUAAGACAUCACGGCGGAUAUAUGAACUACGCAGGACCGGAUAUGACGUCUGAGACCUACAUUUAGUAAUCAAAGAUAGAACAAUUUCAGAUCAAAUCGGUAGCCUGAAGGUGACUGAUAUACCAGGUAUAUCAGUCACGUAACCAUGCCCAGGAACGAACAGGGUAUGGUUUUACUUCGCGAUAAAUGUAUUUCCCGUAAAAUCAUAAACAAUGCAAAUGUGGUGUACAUGUUGUAGAGACACCUAUUGGCGAUUUCGUGCGACUUUAUCUGGCCAACCUGACUUCUGCCUAUGCCUUUAAAUACAAGAACGCUCAUUGUCUCUGAGCUCUGAGCUCAUAACUGAGAGAAGAGGAAGUGGGUAGUGAUAGUCGUUCCGCGUGUACAUGUAUGUGUAUAUCUGGUGCCGUGAUGACCAAAUAACUCAUGUUUAUAAAUAAGAUGUAUGCCCGUAGUAAUAUUAUUCAUGUAAAUAGUAAAAUAAGUACUGUAAAUAGAUAGAUUCUAAUUUGUACUGCAUGUUUGUGUGAUGUUGUUGGAUCAACUUGUCCCAUGUCGGCACAUUAUCCUCCUGGUCACUCUAGUGAAAUCCUGCGACCAGGCAAGUUGUCCGAUCUCUCAAAAAGUAUGCCAUUUUUUUACACAAAUAAGUGAAGCAGGUACUUGUUAACCGACUGUCACAAGUGCUCGAAUAUGUAUCGCUAAUAUCAAGUAUAUUUGGUAUUAUGAAAGAAUACAAUGGGGGUUGACCUGGAUUCGAUAAGAUUUAAAGGUACACAUGCAUUACCUGUCGAGUCAUAGCUCGGGUAAAGCGAAUUAACAGUAGUUUAAUUGUAAUUACCAAGUAGGGGACCUAGUCUAUUCAAACAAGCCAACUUUACCUCAAACGACCUGUUACUUUCAACCCAGCGCAAAAGAUACAUCCAUAACUCUUACCGACGCAUGUCUGCAUUUUACUCUCUCAAGCUGCUUACUCCGAAAACUAACUGACACACGCGUGUUCAUGGUACGUCCCCUUUAAGAUUAUUUGACAUGAUUUGAAUGAUUUGGCAAAGGUGUAUAUUUCGAUAGAAGUUUUUGGGUAAGAUAUCGUCAGACAACAAGGUUAGGCAACAUGGCUGCCAGUGGUGUCUCGGGCACAUUCUGCCAAAUCAUCAGGAAUGCGAAGGGCCACGUAGAGAGCGUCCAAUUCUGCCCGACAGGGGUGUACUGUUGCCGUGAAAGGUUGUAUGACGCCCUCACGUGUUGUAAUGACGUCUCGAAAAAGGUGGACACGCUGGACCUGGUUCCCGCUGGAGGUCAACCGAAGAUGGAGCCAUCCACUGAUGAUGGUUCUUGCAUCAGCAUGACGUAUUUCUGGAUCGGCAUGGGGUGUUUUCUUGCUGUGGUUCUCCUCUUGCUGAUUGUCGUCGCUUGCAUCAUCGGCAAGAUGCGGUCAAAGAAAUCAAGCAAUUUCUCGCGAUUUGAUGACCCAAGUGUCCAACAAUCUGGCAAUCCCUACCCCUUGAAGAUGAUGGAACAUGGAACAUCACGGGAGGAUGUCGGGACAGGUAAUGUCAACUACGCAGGUCCGGAAAUGGCAUAGCCUGUUGACUUGAUGAAGCUAUCAAAAGAGAUACUCUCUGUGUGUUUUUGGAGUCUCAGCGAAUCGAUGACUGUUUUGAAGCUGUAUUCAACCCUUUCCGAGUUUUAUAGAUAGUCAUAAUAACUCGUAUGUCUACCGGUGUUCACAGCGGAUGGACUUUUAUACACCGGUUUUCUCUUCACGGGCUAGCUCUUAUGGACCACAUUGACAUUUCUCAACGAAAUUAAUGCAAAUAAACCGACACGACGUGCACAAAAAGAACGAUCUGUAUAAAACUUUUGCUAUAAAACUUUUACUACAAAACUUAUCACAUGUAUCGACCCCAUGUUUCAAUUUUUUUUAUUUCGGAAAUAUAUCUGAUAUUACUUG